UAGGGAAUCUUCCACAAUGGACGCAAGUCUGAUGGAGCAACGCCGCGUGAGUGAAGAAGGUCUUCGGAUCGUAAAGCUCUGUUGUUGGUGAAGAAGGAUAGAGGCAGUAACUGGUCUUUAUUUGACGGUAAUCAACCAGAAAGUCACGGCUAACUACGUGCCAGCAGCCGCGGUAAUACGUAGGUGGCAAGCGUUGUCCGGAUUUAUUGGGCGUAAAGCGAGCGCAGGCGGAAUGAUAAGUCUGAUGUGAAAGCCCACGGCUCAACCGUGGAACUGCAUCGGAAACUGUCAUUCUUGAGUGCAGAAGAGGAGAGUGGAACUCCAUGUGUAGCGGUGGAAUGCGUAGAUAUAUGGAAGAACACCAGUGGCGAAGGCGGCUCUCUGGUCUGCAACUGACGCUGAGGCUCGAAAGCAUGGGUAGCGAACAGGAUUAGAUACCCUGGUAGUCCAUGCCGUAAACGAUGAGCGCUAGGUGUUGGGGACUUUCCGGUUCUCAGUGCCGCAGCAAAAUCGCAUUAAGCGCUCCGCCUGGGGAGUACGACC
rnacentral:rRNA from 1 species